rnacentral:rRNA from 1 species
UACGGAGGAUGCGAGCGUUAUCCGGAUUUAUUGGGUUUAAAGGGUGCGUAGGCGGACGCUUAAGUUAGCGGUAAAAUUGCGGGGCUCAACCUCGUCGAGCCGUUGAAACUGGGUGCCUUGAGUGGGCGAGAAGUACGCGGAAUGCGUGGUGUAGCGGUGAAAUGCAUAGAUAUCACGCAGAACUCCGAUUGCGAAGGCAGCGUACCGGCGCCCAACUGACGCUGAAGCACGAAGGCGUGGGUAUCGAACAGG